ACCUCUCGGGGUUACAGCCUUGCUGAAUUAUUCACCCUUGUCUUUUGCGUACUUCUUGUUUCCUUGGUGGGUUCGCCCACCACUAGGACAAACAUAAACCUUUUGUAAUUGCAAUCAGCGUCAGUAACAAAUUAAUAAUUACAACUUUCAACAACGGAUCUCUUGGUUCUGGCAUCGAUGAAGAACGCAGCGAAAUGCGAUAAGUAGUGUGAAUUGCAGAAUUCAGUGAAUCAUCGAAUCUUUGAACGCACAUUGCGCCCUUUGGUAUUCCAAAGGGCAUGCCUGUUCGAGCGUCAUUUGUACCCUCAAGCUUUGCUUGGUGUUGGGCGUCUUGUCUCUAGCUUUGCUGGAGACUCGCCUUAAAGUAAUUGGCAGCCGGCCUACUGGUUUCGGAGCGCAGCACAAGUCGCACUCUCUAUCAGCAAAGGUCUAGCAUCCACUAAGCCUUUUUU
rnacentral:rRNA from 1 species